rnacentral:lncRNA from 1 species
GAGUUUGUGUUUAGUUUUUUUUUAUUAUUUAUCUGCUAUUUGUUUCCUUUGUAAUUUUGUCAAAAACAUUAAAGCCUAGUAAUAAUAUUUUUGCAUUUUUACCAAAAACAAAAAUUUAUAUAAUGAAGGCAAAUGUUUGUGCUACUUUUUUAGAAAAGAAAAUAAAAAUAAGAACCACUUGGAUUCAACUUAACGUGUAUUUGAGUAAUGAAUAUGAUUUUUAUGGAUGAAGUGAUGGUAUUAUCAUUUGGGUGUAUGGUAUAGUUGAUCGGGUUUUCGGUAAACGCGUUUCUUGUCAAUGGCAACAU